AGGGCACCUGAUAUGGGCAUCCUUGGCCUCCCUAGAGCCAAGGCAAGCUUGCUUGGUAGGCUUGAGGCUAUUUCAAGCCUAUAAGGAAAGUAUUCGCUUCUCCAUGGAACAAACAGCCUCAAAGGCUUCUCUGUGCUCAGAAAAAUGCAGAUGAGUCAGAUCUCUAAAAAGAUGGACAUCGUUUCAGGCCAGGCAAAGGAUCCUUUAGUACCUCAUGGAGUUCAUCAGCUGAUGAAACAAUGCAUUAUUUGUCCAAGUGGGUCUCUACAAUGUGAUUUGAACUGCUGGGGUGUGCACAGACACAGAAAGGCCUACAAAGCUGCAUUUCAUAAUGUCUGGAGAGGAUGCUGCAUAAACACAUUGUUUGCCUUGAUCUGGAAGGAACUGCCCUGGAGGGAAAGAGGAGGAAGCAAGAUACAAUAACUGUGAUUUCUGAGAAACUUGGCAAGGAAAUGAAACAAUAAUGGAGCAGAACAUCAACAGUUCCAGGCAGUACAUUGCUGGUUUUUUCAAGAACUUGUGGUCAUUAUGGAAGAUAAAUGACAGUCCUUGGAGCUCAUGGCUGAAGCACACAUUAGUCACUGGAUUUACAUGAAAGGAAGAGUAUGAGGGAUUGAGGCAGCUGCCAAAUGGGUGUCAGGUGACAAGUUUGAUUUCCACCCCUGUGUGCGCUCCGCUAUGUGGCUGGUCCAGCUGACCAAGCACUGUGCUUCAGUGGCUGUCAGCCUCCUACAAGCAGCUGUGUUUUACAUGUCUGUUAACGUUUGCAAAUGUCUAGCUGCAUUUUCUGAAACUCCCCAUUAAAUGUUAGCUUGAGUGUGUUGAUCAGGAAGGACAACUCUACGUGGUUUGCAAGCGACCCUCAUGUUUCACCCCUGCAGCAGAGCCCUAUGGUUGCUGGUGCUGAGAUUUGAGCACUGGGCUUGCCAGAGGCAAAGUGCCCUUGGCAUCUGCUGGCCCCUUCUGUGGGUUCCACUGCAAGCAAUAAUUGAGCUUUUAUGUUGCUGUUGACCUCCCAAGUUAAAUUCAGGCAACAUUAUCUGGCAAAUCUGAUGUGUCAAGUUUCAAAGAAAACAGUUUUCCAGCUCAGUCCAGGUCUGAUUUUCUUCCAGAUAAAGAGCAAAACCCUUUGGGAACCCAGUGCUGCCUGGAAUUAAGGUUAAGAGCAAUAAACUUUCCUCUUUACUACCAGACUGAAAUAUCAGCAAAAUCUUUUCUGCUAGGAGUGCAUGUCUAUCCCCCCAGGGUCAGGCCAGUGCUCUAUAGCUCAUCUUGCAUAAUUGCAAUACAAUUUUUGGUGAUCAGGGUCGGGAAGGCAUCUGAAAAAUGGUCCGAAACAUUUCAUCAAACAGUGAUACGACAGACAAAAGUUUUAUUCCAGAAGCAAGUUCUGCACAAAAAAAAAACACCUUUCCUUGUAUGGAUAGAAUAAGAUUUCAAGAGUAUUGGACAUAAAUUACAGUGAAGCUAGAAUAAUGUCCUCAGUAAGAAUCUCACCAGCCUCUGCCCCAAGAUCAUGUUGUAACCUCUCCACAGCAUGGAAAAAUAAAUACUUUCUGCCCAAUGGAAACACAAGCAUGAAAUCCCAUAUGCAGUGUAAUUGACUCUGCAGAGCACAGUGGGUCCCUGCCCCUGGGAAUUGAGUAAGCAGUGACUGUCCCUGCCAAGUAAGUGUCUCUGCUGUGCCCAGAGCCAGGGCUGGUCUGAUCUUGGCUUGAUGUUCAGCUUGAGUGCAGGGCACCAAGUCUUAACAAAGGUUAUCCCACUUACGGUGAGCCCUUGGUAUGCCUUGUAUUGGGGGUGACCAGUUGGGUCACCAAAAACACUCGAUCUGUAGGUCCUGGGUGGGGAUUUAUACACCCUGACCCUUACUGCCAUGUUGCUGGGCAGAUGUUUGGGUUGAGGCACCCAUGGCUUCAGCUGUGGAUUUGGGGAAACAGAAAUGGGACCCAAGAGAUGAUGGGACUCUGCCCCCACUGUGUGCUCUGGGGAGUUUCAAACACACUCUGGGGCAGGAAUGCAGAGGUGGAUGUUUGAUGUCCACAGAGUGUUCCAGGAGUGUUUUAGUCAUAUUUUUAGAAAAAAAGGGCCAAAUUCCACUGGGAGCCAGCAGCUAGGAUGAGGCUGUUUUUUUGCAGUGGAGGAGGUGUGUCACAGCCACCAGCACGGGUGACACAAGUGCCCUUUGUCACUGGGGGAACACUGAGAGCCCAGGUGGUACCCAGCCCUGCUGGGGAGGCACUGACUAAUUUAACCCCCCGGGCACCGGGGCACACCAGCUGCCAGAUUCUCCCGAGGAAGAGGGAUUACCUACAAGGGCUCUCUUUCCCAGCACAAGUCCUGAAGUCAUCAGCAUUCAGGCAGCGGGGAUAGCUCCGGCCACAGCAGCGUGGUGCUGGAAGAGGCACUGCAUCUCAUUGCAUUGCACUGCGCAUCCUCCCUCCCCACCCCCUACUGCUGCAGGCUUCCUCCCUGCA